rnacentral:rRNA from 1 species
AGUCGUAACAAGGUUUCCGUAGGUGAACCUGCGGAAGGAUCAUUAAAGAGUAAGGGUGCUCAGCGCCCGACCUCCAACCCUUUGUUGUUAAAACUACCUUGUUGCUUUGGCGGGACCGCUCGGUCUCGAGCCGCUAGGGAUUCGUCCCAGGCGAGCGCCCGCCAGAGUUAAACCAAACUCUUGUUAUUUAACCGGUCGUCUGAGUUAAAAUUUUGAAUAAAUCAAAACUUUCAACAACGGAUCUCUUGGUUCUCGCAUCGAUGAAGAACGCAGCGAAAUGCGAUAAGUAAUGUGAAUUGCAGAAUUCAGUGAAUCAUCGAAUCUUUGAACGCACAUUGCGCCCCUUGGUAUUCCGAGGGGCAUGCCUGUUCGAGCGUCAUUACACCACUCAAGCUAUGCUUGGUAUUGGGUGCCGUCCUUAGUUGGGCGCGCCUUAAAGACCUCGGCGAGGCCUCACCGGCUUUAGGCGUAGUAGAAUUUAUUCGAACGUCUGUCAAAGGAGAGGACUUCUGCCGACUGAAACCUUUAUUUUUCUAGGUUGACCUCGGAUCAGGUAGGGAUACCCGCUGAACUUAAGCAUAUCUAAAAGUCG